rnacentral:lncRNA from 1 species
UUUCCAUGGCUUCAGUAUCCUUGAUCUCUUCUGCUGGCAGGUCCCUUGCUGUUAUAUUAUCUUCCACUUCAACGGGUUCACUAUUCUUGUUCUCUUCUAAUUCUGGCUCUUGUGGUUGUGGUAUAGCAGCAGUUGCCUCUGUUGCUUUUGCAUCUUCAUCAGGAGCUGCCUCAUCUUCAAGGGCAACGUUGCUUUUGGCAUCUUCAGUGAGAUCACCAAUAUUUGCAACAGGGCUCUCAUAGUAGAUUUCUGCAACCUCGAUGGCUUCAUUCUCCUUCACCUCUUCUGCUGGCAGAUCAUUUGUCGUUACAUUUUCAUGCACGUCAACAGGCUCAGUAUUCUCCACUAGUGGUAUAUCAACAUGUGCCUCAGAUUCCUGUACGUGUUCUUUGGGAGUUUCCUCCUCAGCAAUUGCAUCAGUGCUUUUCACUUCUUUACUUUCCUCCGUCACUAUUGCUGAUUCUAAAUUCUCUGCUUGAGUGGCAGGACUUGGUUCUGUCAUCUCGUUAUCUUCUAGUGUGGACUGCUCAGAACUAAAGGCAGUGUGAGAUGGGGAGAUCCCUUGAGGUUCAGUAGCUUCAGUGUCCCUGAAUUCAACCGGUUCUUGCUCUUGAAGCUGCUGAAUGCUAACAUCUGUCAGGAUUGCUGUGUUAUCUUCUGUUGCUAUUUGUGGCUCAUUUUCUGUCAAAUUUUCUUCAGCAUGUGUUUGAUGGGAAGCUUCUUCAGUUUGAACAUCCUCACUAUUACCAAUUUUUUGUGAUUCGAGCUCCUUUGCUUGUACAUCAUUAGUUGGGUCACUUGAUAAUAACUUGUGUUCUUGAGCCGUUUCUCCAACAAUGGCCCCACUGCUUUGGUUGGAUAUUUCUUCAGCUUUCACAUCAUCAGGUUUCUCUAUCAGCUCUUCGGCGUGUACUUCUUUAAUAUCAGAAGCUGCUUCUUUUGCUGUUACAUAUUCUUCUGGAACAGACAUGCUUUCUUGCGAGAUAGCUCGAGGUUCAGUGGCUUCACUAUCUCUCAUUUCUUCAGCAGGUUCUGGUUCCAGGAUCUGUGGUUCAUUCACUGCGAUAUUUUCUUCUGUUUUGUGAUCUUCCGACUGAGUAGUAUCACUUUGAGUCAUUUCUUGACCUUCAGUGGCUUCAUUGCUGCUCACUUCUGCUGAUUCCAUCACAAGCGACUCACUUGUGGUUAGGUUAUCUUCAUGAGUUGGGUUCUCAAUGACAGCAGCAUCCAUUUGACCACAUGCUUCACUCACUUCAGUAAGCUCGGCAUUCUUCUUUUCUGACUGUAGCUCCUGCACUGAUUGCAUAUCAGCAGCUGGCUCUCUUGCAAGGUCACUGGUUCCUUGAGCUGCCUCCCUGGCAAAAACCUCAUUGCUUUGGUCAGAGAUUUCUUUUAUUCUGGUAUCUUUGUUACUCUCAACAGCUUCUGCUUGUUCCAAAUUCCCUUCUUGAUCAUCACAAGUUACUUCAUUUGCUGUUAUAUUUUCUUCUGAAGCUGGCUCCUCACAAAUGGAAACAUUACUUUCCUGGGGGAGUGCUUCAGUUUCCUUCACGUCUGCUGUUGAUCCAGUCUUUGGCACAUCACCUGGUAUACUAUCUCCUUGAGCUGGGUCAUUCAAGAGAGCAGGAUGCCAUUGAUCAGAAGCUUCUUCAGUAUCAACAGGUUCAGUGUUCUGUAUUUCUUCUGUUUCAAGCCCCCGCAUUUGCUGUUCAGACACAUCCUCAGUUGGCAGCACAUUGUUUUCUUGAUCUGCUUCUUCAACAGUUGCCACACUAGAGGUUUCGAUGAUAUUCUGAGCUGUGUUGUCCUUGAUUUCUUCUACUGAUGCUACAUUUUCUACCUCUUUGGCAUCACAGGUUGGUCCUUCUGCUGUUACAUCAUCUUCUACAGAGUCCUCCUCAGGAGCAGAAAUAGUUCUUCCAUGGCAGAUUUCUUGAGUCUCAGAAACUUCUGCGUGCUUAACUUCAGCCGAUCCUUGUUCCAGGGUUUGCUGGAUAUCAUCAUUCAAUGGUUCAAUUGCCAUAGAAUUAUCUUCUGUUACUAGUUCUUCUGAAGCAGCAGCAUGACUUUGUUGAGUGAUUUCCUGAGUUUCAAUGGCUCCAGUGUCCUUCACCUCUUUUAAUUCUAUCACCUGGGGCUGACAUGCUAGUACAUCGUCUUCUUCAGCACAGUUAUUGAUGACAUCAGCAUGUGGUUGAUUGGAAGCUUCAUCUAUUUCUACAGUUCCAGUGUUCUUAGGUUCUUCCUCUUCCAACCCUUGCACUGGUUGUAUAUCUUCUGUUGCUUCCUUAUCUUGGGUUCCAUCUUCAGCAAUUGUCACAUUGCUUUGAUCGGAGGUUUCUUCAGCUUUGGCAUCUUCAAGACUCUUUAUUUCCUCUGGUUCCACAUUAUUUAAAUGUUGGAUCUCAGAACUUGGUUCAGUGAUUGUUGCAUUAUCUUCUGGAGUUGCCUCCUCAAAAGCAAUACCACUUUGUUGAACUGUUUUCUCAGUAUCAACUUCUUUGGCAUCUGCAGUUUCUUCUGCUAGUCCCUGCUCUUGCACUUCUUCAACAUCGAGAGCUGGCUCCCUUGUCAUUGCAUCGUGUUCUGGAGUUAUCUCCUCAGAUGUGGACACAUUGCUCUCAUGAGAAGUUUCUUCAGUUUUUUCAUGCAGAGGGUCACUGGUUUCUUUUGGUGAUUCUUGAUCCAGCACUUCUUGAUCACCAUUUGUUGACUCAUCAGCUUGCUCAGUUUUAGGCAUAUCUUCGGGUACAUCUGUUUUCUUGCUUUUAGGCACCUCUUCCUGCACCAAGUCUGCAUCCACAUCAUCAGUUUUAGCACUCGGCUGAUCUUCUAGUUUGACAACCUCAAUAUCUUCAUCUUCUGGACAGUUCUCUUUAUCCACUUUGGCUGGUUCAACUGUUUUUGUGUUUCCAUCACUAGUAUCCGGAAGGGCAUCAGGUUCAUCCACAUUAGCCUCCUGAGAAGUUUGGGCUCCAGCAGGUGCUUCAGCUACAACCUCUUCACCAGGAAUAGAUGGCAUGGUUGCAGGUUGUGUGUCCUCAGUUACUUCUGCUGGUUCAAGAUUGUGGCCUUGUUGAGCAUCAAUUGUUGGCUCAACAUCAUUGUCAGGCUGCAGUCUGUCCUCGUGCACCAUUUUGUCCUCCAUUGCAUCACCUUCUACAUCUUGACAAUGUUCCUUUGGCUCUUCAUUGUCAUGUUUUAGAAGGCCGCUGGUAUCUUCUGCAGUGUUCUCAACAUGGCCUAAAGAGUCAAUUGCCUCUUUGCCAUUACUUGCGCUGCUCUGCUCGGUGCUUAUUCCAUCUGGUGAAGCUUCUACCUGCUCAUUACCUUUCUGACCAUUUUCUUGUGGCUUCUCAUUCGAGAUCUUCCCUUCUUUCAUCUGGUCAUUCAGAGAAGAAUGUGUACCAUUUGGAGUAUCUUCUUGAGGAAUUUCGAUUGCAGAGGGUGCUCUUUCUAAAAUUUGAUCCUCUGAAACCUUCAUUCCUUCAGUUAAAUCCAUUGCACUGGCUGUUGCCUCGCCCUUCAUCUCCCCAUGAGGUGAAAGCUUGCUGUCUAGGUUCAUUUGCAAAUGGGUUGUUCUUAGAUGCCCGUUUUCCACUUGAACUUCCUGGGAAACAAACAGGUAAAUCGAACAUUUAAAUCAAAGUACACCGAAUACCACUCUGGGUUGGCAUAAUUACAAAAAGGAAAACGAUGAGAAAAAGAAUACGAAACUCUGCAUUCUUAGAUUUAGUAUACUUUAAAAUUGUGCUCUUUCAAUUAUAAUUCAUACAAAAGGACAUCCAACAGUAUCAGGGUACUGUAGCACUACAAUACUACAAUUAUAAUUUCCUGCAUGACAGCAAUGGUUUCUGGCUGGCUAAUUAUGUCUCACUAGCAUGUGACACUGAAUGGCACAUGCAGGUUCAGUGCAUGUAAGAGUAUUUCAGAAACUGGUCAACAAAAUAGCAGGAAUAACUUGUUAAACAAUAAAGCAGUACCACAUGCUGACACAGCUGGCGCAAGCAGCUGAAUAUUUAACUUAGGUUUUUCAUCCAGAACCUGGCAUGUUGGACAUCCUAACUGGACAAGCUCGUGGUUCAAGGAGCCUUGGCUAAUUGUUACAUAUGUAAUUCUAUCUCUAGUAGAAUAGUGCUGCAAUUACAUGCUUCUGCAUGCUGUAAGUAACCUUUGCUUACUUUAUGCCUUUGUCUUAACACAUCACAGUUGACAAUUCACACUCAGUGUAACUUUUAGGCUGAACAGUUCUUAUAAGUGUUGACCCUCAGUCCCCCACCAUCUAUACUGUAUUCCUAAACAAACUGUUUCCUCUAGAUAGCUAGAACCGUAGAAGACAAUAUCUAGUGCUUGUUGAGUUUUCGCUAACAGUAUUUUCUUAAUAUCGAUUGAAUCUGCAUGCCAGUUAACUUCAUAUCAAGUCCAGGAAUGAAUUGUCAAGAGGGUACUGCUAGUGAAUUCUUUUGCCAGUAAUCAAGAGAACAGAGCAGAGUUUAUGAUAGACUUCUAUAUGUUGAUUUGUUCUGCCCACCAAGUUCCCUGAAACAUGAUCCUUCUAAAGAGACGAUAAUACAUGCUAUUUUUUGUACAAUUAUAUCUGGAAAACAACCAUUUCUGGAAGCUUAAGAAAGUUUGCUAUAAAUCUAACUGGAACCUGAUCACUCAUGUAAGUAGUUGUGUUCACUUGUUGCAUGCUUCGACUCUGAUUCUUUUGUUUAGGAACACAAAAAUGUGAUCAGUGUCAUUUCAACAUACAGAACCGACUGCAUGAAGAACCAUCCCUAGAUGCUAGAGGGAGAUUAACAAAAUAAAGAGAUCGCGGAACCAGAAGUACGAUGCAAUGAUGAUAUCUCUUGGAAACUGGGCAAAGUCUACUGAACUGUUACAGAUAGGCUCCUCACUGUGCAGCUGAUUCGGCAGCACCGAAGCUUUCUGUGUUGCUUUACAUUUUCAGAGUAUUAUGCAUGCAUGGAAACAGAAGGAAGCGAGUGUUGCGAAAAAAACCCUCAAGAGACUACAAGGAGCCAUUGCGUACCUCCCCAUCUGCCGCCUCUCGUGCUUCGUCUUCGGUCGCCAUUGCUCCAGAUCAGGAUGGGAAGAAGGAAAGAAAGAGAAAAAAGAAAAAGAAACAAAGAAAGAAUGGGAGGGAGGUAGGGGGCAGAGAGAGGCCUCUUAACAUAAAAGUCUUGUGGGUGCUUGAAAAGCUGGUGGUCUUUAUACCGACCUUUCCUCUGUCUGAUGUGUUUUCUAUUGCUGAGCAGCGGUUAGGAAAGCAGCGGCAGACUGACAGUUCUCUUGACAGUGAGUUGGUACUCGCUUAAUCAGCCACACGCCUUGAUUAAGCGGGAGAGAUUAUCCCUGAAAUGGCAGAUCAGUGAACAUGGAGGCUCAGCAUUAGGUGCCAAAAUGCCAACUGGUGCUUGAGGCACAUGGUAGUGGUAGCUGGACCAGUGCGUUUACAGUCUUGCAUGGCCGGGACCCCCAGAACCUUUUCCCUUGGAAAUUAUUGGAUCCAUAAUUGAUCGAAGAUUAUCGUUCUUGGAUCCUAUCCCUCAAUUCUUUUUUUGCUCCCGUAGAGCGCGGCUCAAAAUGAGAAUCGUCCCGUUUUCGGUGUAAGAAUACUAUUAUCUGCCUUUCUUUUUGGUUGCUUGGUAUUACAUAAACAUUAGUACUACAUGAUUGCCUUUGUGAUGUCCCUUCAGGUGCAAAUUAUCUUCCUACCGGGUUAGGCAGACAUUGGAUCAUUUGUCACAUUCAGCUUUGGAUGCAAAUGGCUAAAGGCGGCCCCGAAAGGUUGUGUCGAGCUUACCUCACCAUGCACUGGGAAUUCAAGCCGACGACGGAUUUGCCCAAUUUUUUUCCGCAGGCCAUCGAAAGCUCCGCUGAAUCGGAUCGCGCGGAGAGCGGGACAGAAUGAAAGUAACUUCCCUAAUGGAACGUCGGUAUGUUUGAUGUGUUUCAACUUUCAAGGUAAACACUUUCCAGAAAAAGUUAUGUUGGCUCAGGCGUCGUUCUUCUUCCUGCAUCUGUUUUCUGCAGCUGGUUGAAUCUCAAACGAAAUGAAUUAUUCCGAUUUGACAAGAAUACUAGUUAUCAAAGUCUCUUUACUGUUCAGAUCAUUGCUUUGUUAUGAUCCGGAGCCUGGAAGUCUCUGCGCCUGCUAAAUUACUUGUGUCUGAAGACUGCGGAACCAGGAGGGGGGCCAAGGGGCAAAGGAUGGAGGAAUGUGAGGUGCAUGCACAGCCCUGAAUACUGAAUCCGGUCAAGUGGGUGCUGAUGACAGCGAUCCACAGCGAACGAAUUCCACAUGAUCGGCUGCUUUGGAGGAGGAGAAGGCCAAGUUGGCCAAUCCAAUGGCGCCAUGCUGGACCCCCUCCCACACCACGCCAUCCAAAUUCCUCUUGCAGAAAAGAAACCCACCGACCUGGCCGCCCCCAUCCGACCCGUCAUCGUCCACGGCGCCUUAAGAAAUCAACCAAGCUGUUCUUAUAGAAACCUGAGGCAGGUGAUGUUCAGGGAAUUCAUGGACUAUUAUCCUAACACACGGCGGCGCCGAAAGGAAGAAAGAAAGAAAGGAGGAGAGAAAUCGAUGGGUUUGGAGCCGAAUGGUGAUGACAUGGAUGUCUGCAGAGAAGCUUAUCAUCAGAGCCCCCAGCCGCCACCCCCGGUGCCCCAGUGGCUCCAUCAGAUCCGAGUCAGCAUCGUACAUGCUAGACGCCUAACACUCUGGAGAUAAAAGAAGAUGAGAAGUUGAUGUUUUGUUUGCUGGCACUGUUUGCUUUUGCCCCCCUGGAAUAUAAGCAGCCGUCACUCGCAUCGCGUGGUCCUCCCUACUAUCCUGCUCCACAAUCUGAUUAGCAGCCGCCAAAGUGUUACCCCCACCGUUUUUUAAUUAUCAGUGUUGGAUUAAGUUAGCUGAUGAUCUCUACAUACGAUGAUUCUUCAGACAUCAUCAUCUGGAACGAAAUAUAAUAGUACAAAUUAUAACAACAACAAUAAUGGAUGAAUGAAAGGUCGAAUCGGAGGCGAGAGGAGGGGUUUAUGCGGACGAAAGGAACAGGAGAAGCGAGAGUAUUAUUUUAGGUCUGUGACGAUCGGAGGAGAGGAGUUGGCAGUUUUGGCAUGCACCGGCCGCGCAGAAAGACGUCUUGGCAUGUUGUGCCGCCAAAGCCCUCGCCACCUUGAGAAUCGAUGGCAUCGUCACGUCUUGCCAUCUGCGAACGUGAACCGUCGGUUCGUUCCGGCAAUUUGAGCCUGGCUGGCAGGGAAUAUUUGAUAACGAGAUGUAGGUGUAGGGCGAACAAUUUAAUAUUUUGUGGAGAACUAGGGCGGACAAAACAUUUACCAAAGGCGGUAUAGAUUAGUCUGGAGAGAGAGGCAAGGCAGGUGAAGCUCUGUGUUUGUUUCCUGGAGGUAGUCGAUUGGCCGGUGCUCGUGCCGUAUACGCGAUGAAUUCAUAGGCUGGAUUAGAAUGUCAGGGCAAUUUUUACAGGUACUAAUCACGCAGUAGCUUGAAAGCGGUGUUUGGAUUGUAUAUAUUCCCUUCGUUUUUACUAGCAAAAGAGCCCGUGCGUUGCAACAGAAGAGGAAAUAACACAUGCUCUGAACACAAUAUAUUUUUACAUGGCAUCACAUUUGUGUUGUCGACGAUGGCCUCAGUGUUCACAUCACGAAAAUUUUCGACAGGUCACGCACGGGCUGCCCAAUCCGUCUACGUGGGCUGCAUCGUUAGAUCUAUCCAUGCAGCAAUAUUCUUUAAUGCAGUAAAUUUCAGCCACGAUGCAGCAAAUUUUCGUCAUGGUUGCAACAGAAAUAUGGUUAUAGCAGAAAAAUAUCAACGUGAUCAUAGGAAAAAAACGACGCUGAUGAUGCGUGGUAACAAAACAAAAAUAUUGGUUGUAGCAAAAACAAUCCGAUGAACUUGGGUUGCAACUAUCACAAACGUGUAUGCAACUUUUUACAGAAGGAUUGCAGCAAAAAAUGAUACCGGUUGUAGCAAAAAUUAACACGGUUGUAGCAAAAAUCAAGAACACCGGUUGUAGCGAAAAGUCUGAUGAACUGGAGUUGCAACCAAACGUAUAUGCAGUUUUUUUAGUGGACAAAAAUAAAAAAUAAAAAGCGUUUGUAGCAAAUUUGAACGCUAGUUCCAGCAAAUUUAGGCGAAAAAAAUUAGAUGCGUAAUAAGCUGCGCGCACGGGUCGCGCGACACCGGCCGAACGGCUCGACCGGCGGGUCGGUCACAAACGUUUCCCAAAUACAUAGGCCCGUCGGCCUGAUUUUUGCCAUGGCGUUAUUUCUUUCUUUUCCUAGAAAAAGCCAUGAUUUUUUAUAAAUAAGGCUAGGAGCCUAGGAUGUUGUUAUACAAUAACAGGUAGCAUUUUAUAGAAACUAGUAUACCUACUUUGCUUGGCUUUAGCAGGUGUAUGGGCGCAGCAAGCUGUCUAGCUACUUCAAGAUAAUACUGCCUUCGUCUUCUCAAAAUAAACGACUAAACUUCAUACUAAUUUUAGUACAAAAUUAACACAAAGUUGAGUCAUUUACUUUAAAACGAAGGAAGCAAGUAUCAAGCUAUCUAUAACGGGAAAUGCUUCAGCAGACAGAUCAUACGCGAGCGAUCCAUCGCCUCCUCUAUGUAACGUGAGUACGUUUGUCCAUUGCGUAUAUCUUUUUUGUCACAUCAUGUGCGUUGCAAAAUUACGUUCCCCAACAAUAUGCAUGUUGCAAAAAGAUGAAGACAAAACAAAAACUAUAAAUAUUUUCUGCAAUAUUGUUUGUGUUGCAAUUUUUCCCUCCGACAACAAUCAUAUUGCAAAAAUAGUGAAGAAAACUAAUAUCAACAUCACCUAUGUUGAAAAAGAUUUCGGCAACAUAAACUUUGUUGCGAAGUAUUCUGCAACACUACACUUGUCUGCAAUAAUGAAAACGGAAUUGCAUGCUAGAUGGUUGUACAUUUGACGACUGUCGAAGCGGCCGAUCUUUUAAAAAGAUCCAUCGGCUGACGCAUAGUGUGGCACAAUCUAUAAUCUGUGUCGCUGCAUCAUGACUCGUGUAAAACAAAGGACAAUGCUUUGUGAUAGUUAUCCGAUCCAACGAAGUCAAAAAAACAUGGGGCCAUGUUACGCUGAGAGAUUUGUAACAUGAAUCAUGAUGUGCUCUGUCGAUGAUUAGAUUCGCAACAUGGGUCAUGUUGUGGCUAGAGGUUUGCACCACAAGUGUUUUGGAACAUGAGCCAUAUUACAUUCGGGGGGUUUGCAACAUGCCCAUGUUGCGCUUAAAGGUUUUACAACUUGGGGAUACGCCGCGACUACAAUAUGAAACAUGUUGCAACAGUGGUAAUGUUGGCGAUGUUGCGACUGCUACAUGGACGAUGUUGCGACAACAACAUCGGCGGUGUUGCAACUACAACAUGGACGGUGUUGUGUGGCGACGUAUGCAGCUUGUUAGAUGUUGCGACUGCAUCAUGGUACAUACUGCGACGAUCACAAUGUUGAUGUUGCCAAAAAUAAUAUCAAUGACCCAACUUGCCACAUUGUUUGUACAGUUUGCAGUAGGGCAGACCGGCCUCGGAGCAUCACACACCUGACUUUACAGCCGACCGGUAUUAUAACAUCAUGUGGCAAUGCGCCACCUGUCCCUUGUAGUGUACGCGCUACCGGCUUCCUAUGCAACAAAUAUUCUACAACCUGUGUGCCAGAUAAGUUAACUAAAAACAUAUCUAGAUACGAACGUAUGUAACACCACUAGUAGAAAAAUGGCCUUUUGUCCCGGUUCGUAAGGGCCUUCUGUCCCGGUUUUGGAACCGGGACUAAAAGGUCGUUACUAAUGUCCUCGGCCUUUAGUCCCGGUUCUUACACCAACCGGGACAGAUGGGCCUCCACGUGGCCGCUGCGGCCAGGCCAGGCAGGGGGGCCUUUAGUCCCGGUUGGUGACACCAACCGGGACCAAAAGGCAUCCACGCGUCAGCACCUAGCUGAAGCUGAGUUUUUUUUGAAAGGGGCUGGUUUAGGGGUUAAUUUAGGUUGUUAUAUACACCAACCAAGGAGCAUCCAUGAGCAAGCACAAAAAUAAAUAAUUUUAUCUUUCAUCAAUGAGCAUCCAUGAGCAUGCACAAAAUUUCAUCAGGCACAUCACCAUCAUACUUAAAAGUGCAGUAGCAGUUCAACACUAUCGUACUUAAAAGGUUUACACUAUAAAGAUUACAGCUCCAUCAGGUUCUUAAGAUCUUUACUCCUGCUUCUUCACCUUCUCCUUCAUCAAACUGAUGCGCUUAGAGCGGUGAAGCCCCAGGCCAGGAUGUGGGAUGUACUCCUCUACCAGAAUUGGCAUGACCCUGUCGCCCAGCUGUGGGAUCACCAUCGCGAGGCCAUCGUCGCUGCUACUUUUGCUGUAGCCAGAGUCGCUGCUACUUUUGCUAUAGCCAGAGUCGCUGCUGCNNNNNNNNNNNNNNNNNNNNNNNNNNNNNNNNNNNNNNNNNNNNNNNNNNNNNNNNNNNNNNNNNNNNNNNNNNNNNNNNNNNNUAGCACCUGUCGCAGUACUUGCUGCUCCUGCUCCUAUUGCCUUGCCAAAUGCAAAAAAGUUUUUUUAAAAAUGGGUGUGAGACAUUAGCCUAAUGGAUAGGAAGAAGAGACAGAGCGUACUUGCAUCGUCGUCGUCCUGGUAGCGCCUCCGACAUAUAGUCGUGUCAAACACCUUCACAGCGAACGUGGCGUUGUCGCCGUACCUGAAGACAAGGAAGUACCCGUGCCGCAGGUCGUAGGCACGGACGAACUGCUUCCAGCCAUGAUCUAGGUACAUGCUUCCAUCGGUGUCGAACGCCACCUCCACGCCCCACAGCUUGCGAAGCCCGUUGCCGGCCUGCCUCAGCUUCAUGUUCUGUGGCCGAUGACUGUCCAACAUCUUCACAAAAUUGUCCGGCAGCACCUGCCUGCUGGAGGANNNNNNNNNNCCGUGAAGAACUCCAUCUCUGAAAAGCAGCAGAAGAGACCAAUUACUACCCUUUACAACAUUGUCAGUACUCGCUGCUCCUGCUCCCAUUGCCUUGCCAAAUGCAAAAAAGUUUUUUUAAAAUAGGUGUGAGACAUAGCCUAAUGGAGAGGAAGAAGAGAUAGAGCAUACUGGCAUCGUCGUCGUCCUGGUAGCGCCUCCGACACAUAGUCGUGUCGAACACCUUCACGGCGAACGUGGCGUUGCCGUCGUACCUGAAGACAAGGAAGUACCCGUGCCGCAGGUCGUAGGCACGGGCGAACUGCUUUCAGCCACGAUCUAGGUACAUGCUUCCAUCGGUGUCGAACACCACCUCCACGUCCCACAGCUUGCGAAGCCCGUUGCCGGCCUGCCUCAGCUUCAUGUUCUGUGGCUGAUGGUCGUCCAACAUCUUCACAAAAUUGUCCGGCAGCACCUGCCUGCUGGAGGAUUUCUCAAGUAUAAUCGUGAAGAACUCCAUCUCUGAAAAGCAGCUGAAGAGACCAAUUACUACCCUUUACAACAUUGUCAUACAACAUUUACAGCAACAUGAUCAUCAGUAUUAGGUAGGACCUAAUUAAAUACAAUGUAGACCCCGACUCGAGGUCGGAGGGGGGUCGGUGACGGGGACGACGACAUGGAUGAUGGAGGGGGCUCCUAGAUUUCUGCAUAGUGCUCUCCAAUUUUAGCAUUCAAAGUAGGAGUACUUUUCCAAUUUGAGCAUUCAAUAAGCAAAACCAAAUCGUAAAAUAAAGUAGUAUUCAAAUUAGCAUGCAUUCAAUUAUAAGCAAAACUACAUCAUCUCUUGUCAUACAUAUAGAUCACUAAUACAGCUAGAACCGUAGCGUCCGACGGGUAUCGUCGCGGGCGGUGGACACCCAAAGAGAAGGAACCAUCACAGGAUCAUAGCUCCAGUGAGAUCCCUGAAGAACCUGUCAGGUAUUGUCGAACCUGCCCUCCAAAGCAACCAUGUAGCGACGGACGUGCUCGUCCUCCUCACUGACACGGUGACGUACGACCUCCGUGGUGUCCGGAAGCCUCGACACUGUCAUUGGCCCACGCGACCGCCACCAAACAAAGAUCGGGUCAACAACGGGCCGAAUCCUCACCAACCUACGCCCCCCGGAAGGUAGCACCUCCCAAUACCAGCCGGGCGGAGCCCAGUCCCGAACAUGGCCCCUCUGAUCAAGCAGGUGUCCUCUGCCGAGUUGACGACGAGUAUGCGGGAUAGGCAUCGUAAAAUGAACUAAAAAAAUAAACUAGUUCUAUUAAUUUUCUUGCUAAAAAUAAACUAUUUCUAUAUAUAGUAAAAUAAACUAGUUCAACGCAAGCAUGCUUUCAGCGCUUAUUCUCUUCGGCGUAGCAUAUAAAAGUAGUCUAAAACAAUGGAAGGACAAUAAUGAUUUGAUUGCUCUAUAAUUUUCUUUUGUGUACUAAUUAAGAACAAGGAAAGCACCAUAUGAGAAUAUAAAUUAUUUUCCAAUAAAGAACAUGUUUUGUGCCCAUUGGCAAUUUUGGAUUUAGUCAAAUUACAAAAUUAAAAAUAUUUCAUCUUUGUUCGUAUUUAGCCAUGAACUUGCUUACACACUCUCAUAUUUUUAUGGUGUUAUGCAAAAAUGUCUCAUGAACUGUUUUACAACGUCAUUAUACCUAAAUGUUCUAAAUUUAUAGCAUAGUCCCCCCUUUAAAUCUAAAAAAGUCAGCAUAUUUUACAUUUAAUAGUCGAACUUAUAUUUUUAGAAGCGUUGGAUACACCUCAUAAUAGUUGGUCAAUAUGCAAUGGUUUUUUUUUUGAAUAUAUGUCCAGUUUGAUUGCAUUGGCAUCACAAGUGCUUCACCUUCUAGUAGUGACAUUGUAUCAUAUUAUUUUGAAACAAGGAGCCAGCUAAUUAUUAACGUGUCUAAAAGAAAUGCAUAGAACACAAAAAUGAAUAUAUAGUACUAGUAAAAUAUCAAGUAUCAUGCCUGACAGGUACUAUAUAUCCUUUCCUAGAACACAAAAAUGCAAAUUUUUCAAGGAGCAACGUCCAUAUGCAGACUGCUCCCAGGAUACAAUUUCUUGAAGUGAGCAAGUACUACUAGAACCAAUAAUAGCUACACACAUAUAAUCCUAAGAACACAAGUUAGUUUCGCCCCGGCCCCCCGAAAUCAUAGGACCGGCCCUGCCGGCGAGGGGAGAGGAUGGGGGCGCCUGACCGCGGCGUGGGGAGAGGAGNNNNNNNNNNNNNNNNNNNNNNNNNNNNNNNNNNNNNNNNNNNNNNNNNNNNNNNNNNNNNNNNNNNNNNNNNNNNNNNNNNNNNNNNNNNNNNNNNNNNNNNNNNNNNNNNNNNNNNNNGGGAGGAGUGGAGCGGCGGAUCUCACCGUGGGAAGCAGAGGAGGGCCGGGUUGCUCGUCGGCGGGCAGAUGGAGGAGGCGCACGCGACCGACAUAGGUGGCGGCGACGACGAUGACGGCUNNNNNNNNNNNNNNNNNNNNNNNNNNNNNNNNNNNNNNNNNNNNNNNNNNNNNNNNNNNNNNNNNNNNNNNNNNNNNNNNNNNNNNNNNNNNNNNNNNNNNNNNNNNNNNNNNNNNNNNNNNNNGCAUCGGCGUCGGGAUCAAAUGGAGAGAUGAGGGAGAGAUCAAAAUUUCUAAAUUGCCGCUUAUAUAGCCCCACCUUUAGUCCCGGUUGGUGGCACCAACCGGGACCAAAGGUCUCUUUUCAGCAGCCCAACGGGCGGGAAGCAGAGGCAUUGGUACCGGUUGGUGGCACAAACCGGGACUAAAGGUGUCUUUUCAGCAGCCCGAAGGGCGGGAAGCAGAGGCCUUUGGUCCCGGUUAGUGCCACCAACCGGGACCAAAGGCCUUGCGUGGUGCGGUGCUAUGUUUACUCCCACCUCGCUAGCCGAGAGGGGCUCGGAGUGGUUUAUAAGCCCUGCCGAAUCAGCCACUUCGAGCUCCUCUCUACUGCAGGCUUACGGACCUAAAAUCACUCUCUGUGCUUGUGGGCCUAUUGGGCCUACUACGGGCCUGCAUCCUGGCCCUAGUAAUGGGUUUCUAGUCGUAUGCAGGCCGUGGUGGCCCUGUAGGUGGCACUUUUUUUUCCUGUUUUUUGCUUUCUUUUUUGUUUCUAAUUACUUAUUUAUUUUCUUUUACGAUAAUUCUUUUUUGCUAUUAAAGUUUGUAACAAAAUUCUAAUUACUUAUUUAUUUUCUUUUAUGAUAAUUCUUUUUACUUUUAAUGUUUUGAACAAAAUUCUAAUUACUUAUUUAUUUUCUUUUAUGAUAAUUCUUUUUGCUAGUAAAGUUUGUAACAAAAUUCUAUAUAAUUUUAGUUUCAAUAAUACUAGAGGUUUAUAAAAGCUUUUUAGUUGAUUCCUUUAUUUUAAUUUUUUCCCAGUUUUUUUGCUUUCUUUUUUGUUUCUAAUUAGUUAUUUAUUUUGUUUUACGAUAAUUCUUUUUGCUAUUAAAGUUUGUAACAAAAUUCUAAUUACUUAUUUAUUUUCUUUUAUGAUAAUUCUUUUUUCUUUUAAUGUUUUGAAGAAAAUUCUAAUUACUUAUUUAUUUUCUUCUAUGAUAAUUCUUUUUGCUAUUAAAGUUUGUAACAAAAUUCUAUAUAAUUUUAGUUUCAAUAAUACUAGAGGUUUAUAAAAGCUUUUUAGUUGAUUCCUUUAGUACCAGUUCUAAGGCUGUUAUAAAGGCAUUUUAUUUGAUACAAGUUUUAAGGUUGGGGCCCCACGAGCACCUUUUAUUACCGGUUCGUGGCAUGAACCGGUAAAAGAGUUUUUUAGUUGAUUCUUUCUGCAGCUGUUUUUUAGUCCCACCUCGCCAAGCGAGAGGCACUCGCAGCGGUUUAUAAGCCCUGAGUGUAGAGACGAUGAAGGGAGAAGCGCAGUGCUCACCUGCACGUUGGCCUGAAGCUAAGCAACGUGCAGGUGAGCAUUGCGCCUCUCUUUUAUUUUGGCAUGGUAUCAUCAUUUCAUCCACAUAGCAUAUGCAAGAAAGUUGAGAGGGUUACGACAAAAACUGGAUGCACUUCGUGUACAAAACGGACAAUCUCUUUCGAAGUAUCAAGAUUUCAUGCGGAAACUUGUCUGUUACAACAUGCAUUUUAAAUGAACUACAAAAAGGUUGAAAGUUGGCAAGGUAUCAUCAUAAUAGUUGUGGAGAAAGUCUUCACUUUUUCUUCUCUUGUCCUUUCCUUAUUGCGCCGUAACCAUGGAUAAUCUUCAUCAUUUAUCAGGAUGCUUGGGUCAGUCUUGACUUUGAAGGGAGGAAUUUUAUGAAACUUUUCAUAAUCUUCGGACAUGUCUGUCUUGCCCUCCACUCCCACGAUGUCCCUUUUUCCUGAAAGAACUAUGUGGCGCUUUGGCUCAUCGUAUGAUGUAUUCGCUUCCUUAUUUUUUCUUUUUCUCGGUUUGGUAGACAUGUCCUUCACAUAGAUAAUCUGUGCCACAUCAUUGGCUAGGACGAACGGUUCGUCAGUGUACCCAAAAUUGUUCAGAUCCACUGUUGUCAUUCCGUACUAUGGGUCUACCUGUACCCCGCCUCCUGACAGAUUAACCCAUUUGCACUUAAACAAAGGGACCUUAAAAUCUACUCCGUAGUCAAGUUCCUAUAUGUCCACUAUGUAACCAUAAUAUGUGUCCUUUCCCCUCUCGGUGGCUGCAUCAAAGCAGACACCGCUGUUUUGGUUGGUGCUCUUUUGAUCUUGGGCGAUCGUGUAAAAUGUAUUCCCAUUUAUCUCGUAUCCUUUCCAAAUCGUAACAGUCGAAGAUGGUCCCCUGGACAACGAGUACAUCUCAUCACAAACAGUGUUUUCAUCUCUGAGACGUGUUUCCAACCAACUGCUGAAAGUCCUGAUGUGUUCACAUGUAAUCCAGUCGUCGCACUGCUCCAGGUGUUUGGAGCGCAGACUGUUCUUGUGUUCAUCGACAUAAGGGGUCACGAAGGUAGAGUUCUGUAGAACUGUGCAGUGUGCUUGAGACCAAGAAUAUCCGUCCCUGCAUAUUAUUGUCUCCCCUCCAAGCGUGCCUUUUCCAGUCAGUCUCCCCUCAUACCGCGAUUUAGGGAGACCUAUCUUCUUAAGGUCAGGAAUGAAGUCAACACAAAAUCCAAUGACAUCCUAUGUUUGAUGGCCCAUGGAGAUGCUUCCUUCUGGCCUAGAGCGGUUACACACAUAUUUCUUUAGGACUCCUAUGAACCUCUCAAAGGGGUACAUAUUGUAUAGAAAUACGGGGCCCAGAAUGACAAUCUCGUCAACUAGAUAAACUAGGACGUGCUACAUGAUAUUCAAGAAGGAUGGUGGGAACACCAGCUCGAAACUGACAAGACAUUGCACCACAUCACUCCUUAGCCUUGGUAUGAUUUCUGGAUCGAUCACCUUCUGAGAGAUUGCAUUGAGGAAUGCACAUAGCUUCACAAUGGCUAAUCAGACGUUUUUCGGUAGAAGCCCCCUCAAUGCAACCGGAAGCAGUUACGUCAUAAUCACGUGGAAGUCAUGAGACUUUAGGUUCUGAAACUUUUUCUCUGCCAUAUUUAUUAUUCCCUUUAUAUUUGACAAGAAGCCAGUCGGGACCUUCAUACUAAGCAGGCAUUCAAAGAAGAUUUCCUUCUCUUCUUUUGUAAGAGCGUAGCUGGCAGGACCUUCAUACUACUUUGGAGGCAUGCUGUCUUUUUCGUGCAAACGUUGUAGGUCCUCCCGUGCCUCAGCUGUAUCUUUUGUCUUCCCAUACACGCCCAAGAAGCCUAGAAGGUUGACGCAAAGGUUCUUCGUCACGUGCAUCACGUCUAUCGAAGAGCGGACCUCUAGGUCUUUCCAGUAGGGUAGGUCCCAAAAUAUAGAUUUGUUCUUCCACAUGGGUGCGUGUCCCCCAGCGUCCCUCGGAACAGCUAGUCCGCCGGGACCCUUUCCAAAGAUUACGUGUAAAUCAUUGACCAUAGCAAGUACUUGAUCACCGGUACGCAUGGCGGGCUUCUUCCGGUGAUCUGCCUCGCCUUUGAAAUGCUUGCCUUUCUUUCGACAUUGAUGGUUGGUCGGAAGAAAUCGACGAUGGCCCAGGUACACAUUCUUCCUGCAGCUUCCCAGGUAUAUACUUUCGGUGUCAGCUAAACAGUGCGUGCAUGCGUGGUAUCCCUUGUUUGUCUGUCCUGAAAGGUUACUGAGAGCGGGCCAAUCGUUGAUGGUUACAAACAGCAACGCGUGCAGGUUAAAUUCCUCCUGUUUAUGCUCAUCCCACGCACGUACAUCGUUUCCAUUCCACAGCUGUAAAAGUUCUUCAACUAAUGGCCUUAGGUACACAUCAAUGUCGUUGCCGGGUUGCUUAGGGCCUUGGAUGAGAACUGGCAUCAUAAUGAACUUCCGCUUCAUGCACAUCCAAGGAGGAAGGUUAUACAUACAUAGAGUCAAGAGCCAGGUGCUGUGAUUGCUGCUCUGCUCCCCGAAAGGAUUAAUGCCAUCCACGCUUAAACCAAACCAUACGUUCCUUGGGUCACGUGCAAACUCAGCCCAGUACUCUCUCUCGAUUUUUCUCCACUACGACCCGUCAGCGAGGGUGCUCUCAACUUCCCGUCUUUCUUACAGUCCUCACUGUGCCAUCGCAUCAACUUGGCAUGCUCUUUGUUUUUGAACAGUCGUUUCAACCGUGGUAUUAUAGGAGCAUACCACAUCACCUUCGCAGGAACUCUCUUCCUGCGGGGCUCGCCGUCAACAUCACCAGGGUCAUCUCGUCUGAUCUUAUACCGCAAUGCACCGCAUACCGGGCAUGCGUUCAAAUCCCCGUACGCACCGCGGUAGAGGAUGCAGUCAUUAGGGCAUGCAUGUAUCUUCUGCACCUCCAAUCCUAGAGGGCAUACGACCUUCUUUGUUGCGUACGUACUGUCGGGCAAUUCAUUAUCCUUUGGAAGCUUCUUCUUCAAUAUUUUCAGUAGCUUCUCAAAUCCUUUGUCAGACGCAGCAUUCUCUGCCUUCCACUGCAGCAAUUCCAGUACGGUACCCAACUUUGUGUUGCCAUCUUCACAAUUGGGGUACAACUUUUUUUUGUGAUCCUCUAACAUGCGAUCGAACUUCAGCUUCUUUUGACUUUCGCAUUGCGUCCUUGCAUCGACAAUGACCCGACGGAGAUCAUCAUCGGGGACAUCGUCUGGUUUCUCUUGAUCUUCAGCAGCUUCCCCCGUUGCAGCAUAAUCGGGCACAUCGUCUGGUUCCUCUUGAUUUUCAACAGCUCCCCCCGUUGCAGCAUCACCGUAUUCAGGGGGCACAUAGUUGUCAUCGUCCUCUUCUUCUUCGCCAUCUUCCAUCAUAACCCCUAUUUCUCCGUGCCUCGUCCAAACAUUAUAGUGUGGCAUGAAACCCUUGUAAAGCAGGUGGGUGUGAAGGAUUUUCCGGUCAGAGUAAGACUUCGUAUUCCCACAUUUACUGCAUGGACAACACAUAAAAUCAUUCUGCUUGUUUGCCUCAGCCACUUGGAGAAAAAUAUGCACGCCCUUAAUGUACUCGGAGGUGUGUCUGUCACCAUACAUCCAUUGUCGGUUCAUCUGCGUGCAUUACAUAUAAUUAUGUGUGUCAAAAUUAAGAAAAUCAGACAAAUAUCUAUCUAAAGUAAGAAAAUUAGACAAGUAUCAUAAAGAAGAUAAUAACAAGAGGCUCACCACGGUGGUGCCGACGACGAGAUCGGCGCUGGCGAUCAACGGCGGUGAAAACGGGGACGGGGCGUGACGGACCCCUAAAUCUAGACAAAUCUUGGGAAAAAUGAAGCUCCUAGGUCGAGCUUCGAGAGGAGAAAGCUUAACUAGUGUGGCUCGGGCAUUUCAUCGAACACCUCAUGUGCAUAGGAGGUGAGCUAGAGCACCAAAAUGCCCUCCCCUCGCCGGCCAAAAAAAAUAGAGUGCUCUGCCGCGGCGAUGGGUAUAUAUAGGCAACUUAUUUGUACCGGUUCGUGCCACGAACCGGGACCAAUGGUUGUGGGCAGCAGCGAGGACCAUUGGUCCCGGUUCGUGGCUCNNNNNNNNNNNNNNNNNNNNNNNNNNNNNNNNNNNNNNNNNNNNNNNNNNNNNNNNNNNNNNNNNNNNNNNNNNNNNNNNNNNNNNNNNNNNNNNNNNNNNNNNNNNNNNNNNNNNNNUCGGCCCCGUGGGCUCACGAACCGGGUCUAAUACCCCCAUUGGUCCCGGUUCUUCAAGAACCGAGACUAAUGGGCUGGCCAGGGCCGAACGAUAGCCCUGUUUUCUACUAGUGCACUAAAACAUAUUUAAAUGCAUUUGUAUGUAGACAAAUCUGAGUCAAAUAAUUCGGAAUGGAGGGAGUAUUUGGUCACAAAAAAAAUCAAGUAAAAGCUAGUAUAAUAAUUAUGUUACAUCAAAAAACACUUUGCAGGACGGACUUGUUGGAUCAAACACUAACCAUCUCAAAAGCAUGAGUCAACUCAAUGAAAAAUAAGAAUGCAUGAAGUUAGACUCGUGGAGAGCCGACGCGUCUCGAUGCGGCCGGACCCAAGAAUGCACAUGCGCAAGCAAAAAAGCAGCAUGAGUGGUGUAGGCAUGUAGGCACAUGGGCGAGCUGGCACGUGCGGGAGGGCAUGGACACGUGUUUGGCCCUGAAGGCGGCGGAUCGCGAGGCGUAAUCAGCCGGCUUAAAACCAGAGUUUUCCAAAAAUAUAGUACUCCCUCCGUUCCAGAAUAAGUGACUCAAAUUUGCACUAACUUUAGUAUAAAGUUGAGUCAUUUUUGAAUCACUUAUUUUGAAACGGAGGGAGUACACUUUUGGUAAAGCACAUCACUUCUAAUACGAUUAGACGCCCUUCCCUCUCCCUCCUCCCACGAGCAUCUGGGAGGAAAACCCUACAAUCGUCGCCAGGAUCCCCCCUCCUUCCCUCCCUCCUCCCACACUGUCGUUAGAGGGUGCGAGCAGACGAAGCUCCACUGGUGGCGGCGGGGUCUCUUCUUCUCCAUGCGUAGGGGAUCGACGUGGACUGGGCCAGUCAUGCCUGGAUGGGCGCUUGGUGUCGGGCGCAACAAUGUGGCGACGCACUGGAGCGGGUCUGUGACGGUUUGACGGGCAACAUAGAUGUGGUGCAUGCUUGGUCAUGUGAUGGCGGUUGUUUCAGGUUGCAACGUCACGCCCAGAUCCGCCUCAAGCUCUGUAGGUAUGUUGUGUGUGUGGGGGGGGGUGCCACCUUUACCCGGUCGAUCCCUUUUCCGGUGUCUCGAUGGCAGUGAGAAGCGUGGGAGGGCCUCCCGUGUGCCCAUCCUUGGCUGCAAUGGCGGUUGUUCUGCCCCCUCCUCUUUGGUGACGACCGACUGUCGGUGGCCUCCUGUUGGUCCGAUCUAGUGGCUAUGAUGGGGCGAAACAGGGGUGUUUCCGGUGGGGGGGCUGGUAGGAGGAACGUGUGCUCUAACGCGGUCGAGCCGCCCAUCUCUGAAGGAGGUGCCGGUCAUGGUCGUGAGCCGCUCCCCCCCUUUCUCGGACCUGGUGGUCUUUGGUCGCAGAUCUGGUGUUGCUCGAGGCAGGGUGGUCGCUGGCAGUUCUGGCGGUGGUUGAGGUCGCUGAUUUGGUCAAAGUCGUAUUAUUUGGUGGUUCUCGGGGUGGUAUGGUUGCAGCGUGGUGGUCCUCGCGGUGGGAGGCGUGAUGGUCGUGUGCAGAUCGGGCGGCUCAGGUGCCGCGGGGGGGGGGCAACCUUGGNNNNNNNNNNNNNNNNNNNNNNNNNNNNNNNNNNNNNNNNNNNNNNNNNNNNNNNNNNNNNNNNNNNNNNNNNNNNNNNNNNNNNNNNNNNNNNNNNNNNNNNNNNNNNNNNNNNNNNNNNNNNNAGGUGUGAGCAACGGGGUAUAUCACUUGUGUUAGAGCAUAUUUCUCCGUAUGUGGUUUUGGUAAUUGAUGACAAUCCCUAUGGACUAAUGGUUGCGUUAUGAUCUUUGUAGGAUUUGUCCAUAGGCACUUCUUGAAGUCCAUUUGUUGGUUUCAAGGAGUUUAUAUGAUGACCAAUGUGGCAUUCAAGGUUUUAUCCAAAGAUUGGUCAUAAAGACACAAGGUUGAUCAAGAUUAAGUCAAAGAGUGAAUCAAGUUGAUCAACACACAAAAGCGUACAAGAUGUAUCGACAGGGAUCAAGUGAUCCCAUGGUAUGGUAAGCAUUGUCCAUUAUGCUUUGUGUACUAACCCAUGGUCCUCGUGAGAGUUCUAUGUGGGGUUAGGUGUGUUUCUAUGGGUUUGCCUCAAGAGGAAGAUCUCAUUCAACCCAUGAAGGAUGACAUCAAGUGGUGAUCGUCAUCAAGAUUGCGGUGUGCAAGUUCAAGUGGAGCAUCACAAAGAUAUCAUGCUUGAAGCUUGUCGUCCAUUGUGGUGACAAUGGACUUGUGAAGAUGUGCUAAAGAGUGGCUCACCCAUAGUGAGUAUGGGGGAGCAAUCAACUAGUCUUCAUCAAGCCAACGCAAUCAAGAAAGGUGGUCCAUCUUGAGGAAGUCAAGAUCAUCAUAUUUUAGCUCAGAUGGACUAUGUGCAAGGUAUAGGUUUGCCCUUGCUAGGUUUUUCUAUUUUAGGAUAUAUUGCCGUACUGUCAAGGGGGGCUCUCAAGUGAGUAGCUUGAUCGUAUUGUUCGUUGAGAGCUCAAACCAUUUGCAUCAUUGCAUCAUCUUUCAUGGUUCUUGUUUGGUGAUUCUCUUUGUGAGUUUUAGAGCUUAUGGUCACNNNNNNNNNNNNNNNNNNNNNNNNNNNNNNNNNNNNNNNNNNNNNNNNNNNNNNNNNNNNNNNNNNNNNNNNNNNNNNNNNNNNNNNNNNNNNNNNNNNNCAAAGAAAUCAUAUCAAUAAUUUUCUUGGCAACAAUGAUAAAAUCAAAGCAAUACCAAUCUCUUUCCAGAAAGCCCCCCCGCAUCGCCCCUUCUUUGGCAACUCGAGGGAACCACCCCCCUUAGCAGUGCCACAUUCCUCCCUCCCACCAGUUUUAUGAUGUGCGAUGCGCACGAGGGUUGGUGCUCUUUGGCACCAAACGAAUCUGGCGUGGAGACCAUGGUGGAGGGGCUUGAGUGGCCUGUACGACGCUCGAGCAACGGCUUCGACCGUGAGGGGUGCGACUGGCGGGUGUCUACGCGGUCAGGCAUCACAUGGAUGCCCCUAGGGGUGCACGGAUCGGAGGCCCAUGGCUACGAGCACUAGUAUAAAAUAUGGCUAUAGUCCAGGUUGGUAAGGGCCUUUAGUCCCGGUUCACCAACCGGGACUAAUAAUUUGGGAGUAAAGCCCCCCCCUUUAAUCCCGGUUUGCCACGACCCGGGACUAAUUCCCUUCCACGUGGCUGGCAGCGCGUCGGGGGGGGNNNNNNNNNNNNNNNNNNNNNNNNNNNNNNNNNNNNNNNNNNNNNNNNNNNNNNNNNNNNNNNNNNNNNNNNNNNNNNNNNNNNNNNNNNNNNNNNNNNNNNNNNNNNNNNNNNNNNNNNNNNNNNGGGACUAAAAGAAGUUGGGAUUUGAGGUUUAUUGUUUAUUUUUGAUUUUCAUUUUAUGUUUUUCAUUUAAUUCUUUUUCAUUUCAAACAUAUCUUACGCCACUAUAUACCAUACACGUUAUAUAUGCAUAUAUCAUAGGAUUUCUCGUAGGACCAAUCAUAUAUAUCAUAGAAUUUCUCAUAAGACCAAUCAUAUAUAUAUAUAUAUAUAUAUAUAUAUNNNNNNNNNNNNNNNNNNNNNNNNNNNNNNNNNNNNNNNNNNNNNNNNNNNNNNNNNNNNNNNNNNNNNNNNNNNNNNNNNNNNNNNNNNNNNNNNNNNNUAAUACAUGUGUGAAUAAAUAGAUCACAAUGUGUCCCUAGCAAGCCUCUAGUUGGCUAGCUCGUUAGUCAAUAGAUGAUCUUCACCAAUUCCUUGUUUUGCCUUUGUCUUGGAUACUGUCAUAUGCUUGGGAAAGAUCUAUAUUCAUAUGUCAACUUGGAAGUGAGUAUUCAUGAAUUAUUAUUGUUGACAUUACCCUUGAGGUAAGCAGUUGGGAGGCAAAACUAUAAGCCCCUAUCUUUCUCUGUGUCCAGCUGAAACUUUGAUCUCAUGAGUACCACGUGAGUUGUAGCAAUUGUAGAGAAUGGAAGAGUGAUUGAGUACGUGGAUUUAAUUUACAAGCUCUCAUUUGACUCUUUCUGAUGUUGUGAUAAAUUGCAAUUGCUUCAAUGACUAAAGGCUAUCGGUUGUUACUUCUUGGUAAGGUUCUUGAUCCAUGCUUUACUUUGUGAAGAGAUUAUAUGUUGGUAUUGUUGUUCUAAUCUUGAUCAUGAUGCAUGCAUGUUUGUAUCUUGUUUUGUCGACACCUCUCUCCCUAAACAUGUGGACAUAUUUAUUGAGCUCGGCUUUUGCUUGAGGACAAGCGAGGUCUAAGCUUGGGGGAGUUGAUACGUCCAUUUUGCAUCAUGUUUUCAUGUUGAUAUUUAUCGCUUCUUUGGCUGUUAUUUCACUUCACGGUACUAUUCUUAUGCCUUUUCUCUCUUAUUUUGCAAGGUUUACAUGAAGAGGGAGAAUACCGGCAACGGAAAUUCUGGCCUGAAAGUGGGGCAAAGUUGAGAUACCUAUUCUGCGCAACUCCAAACAUCGUGAAAAUCAAUGGAGAUUUUUUUCCCAAUUUAUAAAAAAUACUGGGCCGAAGAAGUGCCGGAGGGGCACCAGGGGGUGCCCAAAAGCCUGCACGGCGCGGCCACCCCCCACGCCGUGCCAUGGGAGCUUGUGGGCAGCCCACUGGCCCACUUGCUCCCCUCUUUUGCUAUAUGGAGGGUUUCGUCCAGGGAAAAAAUCAAACGGGAGCUUUUUCGUUGUUUCGCCGCCGCCACGCGGCGGAACUUGAGCAGAACCAAUCUGGAGCUCCGGCAGGACGAUCCUGCCGGGGAAACUUCCCUCCCGAAGGGGGAAAUCAUCACCAUCGUCAUCACCAACACUCCUCUUAUCGGAGGGGACUCAUCAUCAUCAACAUCUUCAUCAGCACCAUCUCAUCUCCAAACCCUAGUUCAUCUCUUGUAACCAAUCUCCGUCUCGCGACUCCGAUUGGUACUUGUAAGGUUGCUAGUUGUGUUGAUUACUCUUUGUAGUUGAUGCUAGUUGGAUUACUUGGUGGAAGAGAUUAUGUUCAGAUCCUUGAUGCUACUCAUUACACCUCUGAUCAUGAUUAUGAUUAUGCUUUGUGAGUAGUUACUUUUGUUCCUGAGGACAUGGGAUAAGUCAUGCUAAUAAUAGUCAUGUGAAUUUGGUAUUCGUUCGGUAUUUUGAUAUGUUGUAUGUUGUUUUUCCUAUAGUGGUGUUAUGUGAACGUCGACUACAUAACACUUCACCAUUAUUUGGGCCUAGAGGAAGGCAUUGGGAAGUAGUAAGUAGAUGAUGGGCUGCUAGAGUGAUAGAAGCUUAAACCCUAGUUUAUGUGUUGCUUCGUAAGGGGAUGAUUUGGACGCACUAGUUUAAUACUAUGGUUAGACUUUGUCUUAAUUCUUCUUUCGUAGUUGCCGAUGCUUGAGAGAGGAGUUAAUCAUAAGUGGGAUGCUUGUCCAAGUAAGGGCAGUACCCAAGCGCCGGUCCAUCCACAUAUCAAACUAUCAAAGUAACGAACGUGAAUCAUAUGAACAUGAUGAAACUAGCAUGACAAAAAUUCCCGUGUGUCCUCGGGAGCGUUUUUCCUCCUAUAAGACUUUGUUCAGGCUUGUCCCUUGCUACAAAAGGGAUUGGGCCACUUUGCUGCACCAUUGCUACUUUUGUUACUUGUUGCUUGCUACGAAUCAUCUCACCACACACAAUCACUUGUUACCGACAAUUUCAGUGCCUGCAGAUUUUACCUUGCUAAGAACCACUUGUCAGAUACUUCUGCUCCUCGUUGGGUUCGACACUCUUACUUAUCGAGAGGACUAUGAUUGAUCACCCACAACCUAAGAAUAAGAUAUACGAUAAGAAUGACUUCGCUGCUAGCAAGCACGGUAAAGAAAGGGAACCAUGGGUUCAGAAACCCAUGCCUUUUCCUCCCAAACCAUUCAAGAAAAAGGAUGAUGAAGAUUUUGAGCGCUUUGUUGAAAUGAUCAGACCUGUCUUUCUGCAAAUGCGUUUGACGGAUAUGCUCCAAAUGUCUCCGUAUGCUAAGUACAGGAAAGAUAUUGUGACUAAUAAGAGGAGGAUACCUGAUCUUGAGAACUCCGCCAUGCUUGCCAAUUACACUUUCAAGGGUGGAACUCCUAAGAAACUAGGUGAUCCCGGUAAAGGUAACUACGUUAGAACUGCUUUAUGCGACCUUGGAGUCGGUGUUAGUGUUAUGCCUCUCUCUCUUUAUCGUAGACUUGAACUGGAUAAGUUGACACCCACUGAAAUCUCUCUGCAAAUGUCCGACAAGUCAACUACUUUCCCUAUCGGCAUUUGCGAGGGUGUGCCUGUUGUGGUUGCUAACACCACUAUCUUAACAGACUUUGUUAUCUUGGAUAUUCCUGAGGACGAUGCCAUGGCUGUCAUCCUCGGAAGAUCCUUUUUAAACACCACAGGGGCUGUUAUAGAUUGCAACAAAGGCAAUGUCACUUUCCAUGUCAACCGUAAUGAACAUACGGUGCACUUUCCGAAGAAACAAUAUCAAGUACAUUGCAUCAAUGCUAUCGAAAAAACUUCAUCGAUUCUUAUUGGGAGCUUUGAAUGCCCUAUUCCUCGUGUCAAGAUGAGGUAUGACUUGCUUGUUGAGGAGAUACACAUCCCCAUUGAGGUGACCUAGUGACUAUUCGAAAAUUCUCCGUUCUCUUUUGCGAUUCGAGAAAGUUUUGUCGAGGGGAUUUGAUCAACUCCAUUGACGGAUUUCUUUCGAUGACCAUGAGAUGGAUGAAUCAAGGAGUCACAAACCUCUGUUCCAAGCUUUCACCUUCGGUUGCUUCGAAGAAAAAUGAUAGGUUUAGUUUAGUUUUCCCUAUUUUCUGUUUUAGCGUCCGGUAGAAAAGUACCCCGAAAAUAAAAGUUCUCCGAUCAUCCUGAAAAUCAAGUAUGAUUUUUUCUGGAAUAUUUGAAAAAUUCAGAGACAAAGAGCUUGUCUGGGGGCCACACCGUGGGCCACAAGCCCUAGGGGCGCGGGCACCCCCCUGGCCGCACCACCCAGGCUUGUGGGGCCCACAUGCACCCCCUCCACUCAUUCUUGCUCUCAUCCGCUUCUCUUACCUCCAUAAAAAAUCGUUUCGCAGCUCAAACCCGUGUUCUUGCUCCUCUUGCUGGGAUUUUCGAUCUCUUUGCUCAAAUCACCGUUCUCCGAACUGUUUUGGGGAAAUUACCCCUUGGUAAGUGACUCCUCCAUUGGUCCAAUUAGUUUUUGCUCUAGUGCCUUAUACUCCUCGUAUUUUUGCUGCCUUGGUGACCAUGUUCUUGAACAUUGUAUGCUGAUUCUAGCUGGUCCCAAGUAGUUUUGAUGCGUAAUAUGGUCUCUAGGCACUUGUGGGAGUAGUUGCUACAAUUUUAGUUGAACCUUGUUCACCUUUCCUGUGGGUCACUGAAAAUUUCAGAAAAGGAAGAUGUUCA